UGGGGAAUAUUGCGCAAUGGGCGAAAGCCUGACGCAGCGACGCCGCGUGAGGGAUGACGGCCUUCGGGUUGUAAACCUCUUUCGGUAGGGAUGAAGCCUUCGGGUGACAGUACCUGCAGAAGAAGCACCGGCUAACUACGUGCCAGCAGCCGCGGUAACACGUAGGGUGCGAGCGUUUUCCGGAAUUAUUGGGCGUAAAGAGCUCGUAGGCGGUCCGUCACGUCGGAUGUGAAAUUCCAGGGCUCAACCCUGGACCUGCAUUCGAUACGGGCGGACUAGAGUUCGGUAGGGGAGACUGGAAUUCCUGGUGUAGCUGUGAAAUGCGCAGAUAUCAGGAGGAACACCGGUGGCGAAGGCGGGUCUCUGGGCCGAUACUGACGCUGAGGAGCGAAAGCGUGGGGAGCGAACAG
rnacentral:rRNA from 1 species